rnacentral:rRNA from 1 species
GCAAGUCGUGGGGCAGCGCAGGUAGCAAUACUGGGCGGCGACCGGCAAACGGGUGCGGAACACGUACGCAACCUUCCUUUAAGCGGGGAAUAGCCCAGGGAAACUUGGAUUAAUACCCCAUAAGACAGUGGAGUGGCAUCACUCAGCUGUUAAAGCUCCGGCACUUAAAGAUGGGCGUGCGGCUGAUUAGGUAGUUGGCGGGGUAACAGCCCACCAAGCCGACGAUCAGUAACUGGUGUGAGAGCACGACCAGUCACACGGGCACUGAGACACGGGCCCGACUCCUACGGGAGGCAGCAGUAAGGAAUAUUGGUCAAUGGACGCAAGUCUGAACCAGCCAUGCCGCGUGGAGGAUGAAGGCCCUCUGGGUUGUAAACUUCUUUUAUUGGGGAAGAAACCGGACUUUUCUAAGACCGUUGACGGUACCCGAUGAAUAAGCACCGGCUAACUCCGUGCCAGCAGCCGCGGUAAUACGGAGGGUGCAAGCGUUAUCCGGAUUCACUGGGUUUAAAGGGUGCGUANGUGGGCAGGUAAGUCAGUGGUGAAAUCUCCGG